UUCAUUGCAAUUCUAUCAUCAUUGGCGACUGGAGAGCAGGCUGAAGCAAUACUGGAUCUUGUGGAGGAGCGCUGGCAAGAACUCAUUGGUGAGAUGCCACUCAAGAUCUGCUACCCUGCGAUGGAAAAUCAGGAAUGGCAGAUAGUCACUGGAUGCGACCCGAAGAACACCAGGUGGAGCUACCACAACGGAGGCUCAUGGCCAGGUGAGAGUGCUUUAGGAACUUGAUAUUUAGCACUGCAUUAUGUUGUUAAACAUUCUUGCCAAUUAUGUGUUUUUGUUUUUUUGUUUUUGCAUUUUAUGGUUUAUAGGAAGUAAGUAAUUACAUUUUCAAUUGAGUAAACAAAUGAGAUUGGUUAUUUGCUGAUGUGAACCUCAUCUUUUGGGUUUGACAAAUUGGUAGUAAUAUGAACAUUGUUUGUCGGUAUGAACAUAUAGCAAAGCUGUACUUGCAUAAUCCACUGGCCAACUUCUGUUAGAGAAGAUACUAUAUGUAGGUACUGAAAUAUGUCCUCAGUUGAAACAAAGCAGAGUUUGCGAAUAUGAACAGUCCUUUUGUUUGGUGACUUGAUAUCUAUACAUUCCUCACCCUGCAUUAGCAUCCCCUUUUUAUGGCAUGAGCCCUUUUGGUCUGGCUGCUGAUGACCAUGAGAUGUGUUGUGCAUUAUGUGGUUUAGGAACUUGGUAUUUCGUUUUAAAAUCGAAUAAGUAGAUGAGAUUGGCUAUAUGUCAAUCUAAACUUUAUUUUAACAAUACGACCUUAGUUUUCUUUAUUGAAUUUUCAUCUUUGGGUGCAAAAUGCAAAUGUGACCUGCGUUGCUGGUAAAAAGGAUAAAUGUAGAAACUGGAGGCUGUGUUGUCAAUCAGAAGCAAAAUACUUAUGAAUGGUCAUUCCAUUUGACAAAUUAAGUUGAUAUCUGUGCAUCCUUCACUCUGCAUCAGCAUCCAUUUUAAUCAUGUCAUGUGGCAUUGCUCAUCUGAUAUGUUUGACCCACAUGUGCAAAAAUAUAUAUGUGCUCGUGCAGUGCUGCUGUGGCUGCUGGUGGCGGUGAGCGUGAAGCUGGGGCGCCCUCACCUGGCGCGGAGAGCCGUGGAGCUGAUGGAGCAGCGGCUGGCCAAGGACGACUUCCCCGAGUACUACGACGGCAAGGCGGGGCGGUACGUGGGGAAGCAGGCGCGCAAGUUCCAG
rnacentral:lncRNA from 1 species